AUACGUAGGGGGCGAGCGUUGUCCGGAAUGAUUGGGCGUAAAGGGCGCGUAGGCGGCCCGGUAAGUCUGGAGUGAAAGUCCUGUUUUUAAGAUGGGAAUUGCUUUGGAUACUGUCGGGCUUGAGUGCAGGAGAGGUAAGUGGAAUUCCCAGUGUAGCGGUGCAAUGCGUAGAGAUUGGGAGGAACACCAGUGGCGAAGGCGACUUACUGGACUGUAACUGACGCUGAGGCGCGAAAGUGUGGGGAGCAAACAGGAUUAGAUACCCUGGUAGUCCACACUGUAAACGAUGAAUGCUAGGUGUAGGGGGUAUCGACCCCUUCUGUGCCGCAGUCAACACAAUAAGCAUUCCGCCUGGGGAGUACGGCCGCAAGGUUGAAACUUAAAGGAAUUGACGGGG
rnacentral:rRNA from 1 species